rnacentral:lncRNA from 1 species
AAAAAAAUAAAAAAUAAAAAAUAUCUCAGAUGAGGUUGACCCAAAACAAGCCCUAGCUCCUCCCAAAUCUUAUCCGCCGAUUCUGCCACUCCGUUAUGAUCCGAGCAUCCUUCGCCACCACCAUUGGCCUUUUCCACUCGCACACUCAUGGAGGAGCUCAAGCUCGUCCUUUACAGAGCAAUACACGGGAAGUGAUCCAGUGCCCCGAAGCUUGGUUAGUCAAAAUCGUCUCUACUUUAUUCGUCUAUCAAGUUCCAGACUCCGAUCUCUGUUUUUGCUACCUGAGCAAGAAUCUCAAUCCGUUUAUCGCCUUCGAGGUUGUGAAGAAACUGGAUAAUCCCCACAUUGGGUUUCGGUUAUGGGAGUUUAGUAGAUUCAAGCUCAACAUUCGCCAUUCUUUAUGGACUUAUUACUUGCUUACGAGGUCGCUUUGUAAAGCCGGUUUACACGAUUUGGCUGGGAAGAUGUUUGAGUGUAUGAAGAGUGUCCGAAUAGUCGGUUAUUAGGAUUUUUGGUGUCUUCUUUCGCUGAAAAGGGUAAGCUUCUCUUCGCUACUGCAUUGCUUCUUCAAUCUUACCCAUUAAAGAAAUUCUCAUAUCUCCUCCUCAUAAUAUUUAAUUUUUUUUUAAUUUAUUUUAAAGGAAGAAAAAUGAUGAAAAGUGGUAAAAUACUUGGAGGUCCUUAGUAAAGUAGCAUAUUUACAAAACCAACCACGAAGAUCCACACCUAGUCUGUCAUAUCGGGUUGAAUCCGAAGAAAUCGUGGCUUCGGUCAAAAUUGUGGUAAGUCAAACCCUAAAUAGCAAUUAUACUUGGAAAAUUUUUUUAAAAAAAAUAUUCAAAUUUGAAAUCAUCCUCUCGUCGUCGUCUUCGUCUAGUAUUCUAUGGGACAACUACUGCCUGUCUUGAAUCAACGCUAAAUCAGGUUCGUUCGUCUUCGUCCUCUGAUUUGUCCUCUGAUUUCUAAUUUCUAUUUAGAUGAACUUGAUUUUGUGUAGAAUCCAAAAUUCGAUUUAUAUGUUCUCUAUUCAGUUGGUAAUUACAAAAUAGGAGUCAUGGCUGGUAUCAAAAGAGUGUUUAGAUAUGCUAGACAAAAACUGUACUCAGAUUCCGAAUCGUUGCAUGAGAAAAUGGUACAAAGAGUUGCCGAUUCAGAGACGGGUAAUAAUCAGAUAGUGAUGUGGCAGAACACUACUGAAAAUACGGAAACUGAGGCUGAGGAGGAGGAGAACCAGCCAUUGCCACCCGUGAGAAUGUUCUUCGAGCCCAGUCAGUAUCAUAAUGCAAUAAAGCUGGGAACAAGAUGUUAUAUCCACAAAGCUGUUGCAAAAUUGGAGUCCCUAGACCUUGAACCCCAUGAGCAGAUAUGGUUUACAGAACACCCACAGUUCAAGCAUUUUUGGCACACGCAUAGGGCCAUGCAUGAGGACACGACACACAAGAUGAUGGGAAUGUGGUUGCUUCUUCUUCGGACAACAAACACAAAUAAGAAGAGGAAAGCUUGGUUUGUAGUGAAUGGUGUACCAAAACCUUAUUCCCUUAGAGAGCAUGCCUUUUUGUGUGGAUUAAACUGUCCACCGUACCCAGAGGACUAUGAGAGCAUAUAAAGUUCUUCGUUUAAGAAUAGAUAUUUCCAGGAAACCGUCCCCUCCCUUGCUGCUGUUGAGAAAAAUUUAGAGCGAUGCGAGGGCUAGCUCAUCCUGAUCGGUUGAAGAUGUGUGUCGCCUACUUUUUAUACUCUAUAAUUAGUGGGAAAACGAAAACCAGUAAGGGAGCACCAUCUGUUGACCCCUUAUUCCUAAGGAUUGUGGUUUAUCUUGAGGCUUGUAAAAGGUUUCUUUGGGGUAGGUUUUCAUUCGAUGUAAAUCUGAAGGAGAUUGAGCACACAAUGAGGCAUUUCAAAGGGGUCGUCGUAACAGAUUCUUGGACAUUUCCAAGUUUUGUUACUCCCUUGGAGGUAUGUCACAUUAUAAAGAAUUUGUAAGUAUGUAAUACUAUGAGCUUAAGUGUAAUUUGUUGGGUAUAUGUGUAGUUGAUAGCAUUUGAGAGCAGAGAGGGAUUGUCUCCGGAUGUGCAGGCAGAAGUUCCAACCAUUCACCCUAAAAGGUUUCUCUUUGUCGGAACUCUAUGAAACAUUGGGUAACACUAGGGUCAUCGAGAGUAUAUUGCAACCAUCCGAGGAUGAGGUAAUUAUGCUUGCUGGAGUCAUGGAGAGGAAUGAAGAGGAAGAUGUCGGCGAUAUCGUUCCUGAAAAUUGGACGAGGUGUUUAGUUGAGGAAAAGAAGCUGAUAUUCUGGAAAGAGAUAUGCAAGAUCGAUGUUGAUGCCCGAGAUAAUAAGGAGUGGGUAAACCAUCCUGCAGCGGCUAAGAAUAAUGUGGGGACGGAGAAUGUGGCGCUUCUUGGAUUGGUGGAACAGCUUCAGAGCUUGUAGAAGAGUAUGGACGCUCAGUUUCUCCGAAUCAGUGCCCGAAUGGAUGGCUUUGAUACAAGACUCUGCUCUAUAGAACAAUAUGUAAAAGAGACAAGAAGAGAAAGGGAAGGACCAGGAGAUGAGGGAGGAGAAGUUUUUCAAAAUGAUGUAGAACAUGAACAUGAACAAGGUGGAGAGAAACUUGAAAGUGUGGUAACAACUGAGAAAGUGAGGAAGCAGAAACAGCCGAAGAAGAAGCAGCCGAAGCAGAAGCCGAAGAAGAAGCAGAAGGAGCCGGAGCAGAAGGAGGCAGAGCAUAAGGAGGCGGAGCAGAAGGAGGCGGAGCAGAAAGAGCCGGAGAUGAAUGAGGCGGAGCUGAAAGAGGCGAAGCAGAAGGAGGCGGAGCAGCUUGUAUCCCGAUCUCCGUACCUGCUUAGAAGUAAAGAGGUAUUGAAGUUUGAAGAGUAAAGUCCAUUGUUUUGGUAAUACUUAAUAUUUUGUGGUGACACUAUGUUGUUUUACUUGGUAUGUGUAGGUAGAACCAAACGGUGAUGACGCUGUGAAUGCAGAAGUGGGCGCAGGUAAACAGAAACAAGAGCAAUCGAAGCUAGGGCCAAACACAAAGCGGGGACGUUAAGUCUCCUUUGACAUUUGAUAUAUGUAUUUGUAUUUUAUUAAACUGUAUUAGGGUGUGUACUUUUAUUUUAUUAUUGAUUUUAGAUUAUUGAAAACCAAAUAUUGGGAAAACUUGGUAUUAUAGUGUUCGAGUUAAAAUUAUUAGAAUAAUGUUUAUACACAACAUAAAGGAGUACAAAACAUUACGAAUUGUGUACAUAAGGAAUCCAGAACAUAAAGAAGUACAGAAAACAAAAAACAUAAGACACAAAACAUCAGACACAUUCAACAGUUUACAAUUUCAGGAAAAGCCCUAACUACCCGGUACACAUUUAGGAAGAACCUUCCGCAUUCGCGAGUUAAGAAGCAGUAGUUGCAGAUGUUCCCUGGUUUAUACUCAUCAUUCCACCAACGCUCCCAUCGGUUAACUGUACCGCACAGACAGUGGAUAAGAGUAUUGAGGCGCGGUAAAAAGCGACGGUGAUUUUCAUCGAACAUCUCUGGCAACGCCAUUAGCCAACCAAGAUAUACUUCUUCAACGAGCUCGCGGCUGCACUUCCUUAUUGUUUCCCGGCUUAGUUUGAUGAGGUACUCAUCACCCUCAGGAUGUUCCAUAACAAGUUUCAUGAACAUCCCGUAGGCAUAUACUGCACGCGUGUACCCUUUAUCCUCUGCAUCCUUUAUCAGUUGAAUCCCUCCAAAAUCGUGUUGAUGAAAAUAGAGUUGCAUACCUCGCAUGAAAAGCAUGCCUGGAUUUUUUGCAUCAUAGAUCUCUUUGAAGACAUCAAUGAUGAGAUGGACAUCUUGAUCCACUGGAUGACCCAUAUUAAAGGGAUCAACUUCAGCGUAGAAGCCAAGGCCUCUGGUGCAGUCGUUGAACCUAUGACAAAUCGAGCGAAUCCGUAUUAGGUCACCAAUUGUGUUAGCCGACUUUGCCAAAACCUUUUCCAGUAGUUUGUCUAGUAAUGCUAGUAGGUAGAAGUACUCUGCCAUGGAUUUAUAUAUGAAAGUGGUCGAGGCCGAGUUUUGUGAAAGAUAUGAAACCCUAAGAGAAAAUCAUGGAUUUUGUAAUAUAAAAGGAAAAUUUGAACCCUAAGAGAGAGGAGGAAGGAAAAAGUGAUGGAUUUGGGAAAGUAAUGAAGAAGUGAAUGGAUUUUGGAACUUCUUUCUGUAUGGAUUUAAUUUGCGAACUUAAAUAAAAGAAAAUGGAGGAAGUGAGUAGUCUCGUCGAGUAAAUGCGAUCGUAUGAAAGAGAGGAAUAACUGCUACUCUCAUUAAUGCGUUAUUGGAAUUAUAUGAUUUUUACCCAUAUACUGUGAUAUUCAGAUAUUUGUUUGGAUUAUAGAGGUAUUCGGAUAUUUAUCUACUCAGCAUUUACUCACGUGAGAGGAAUUAUUUAUUAUAUAGACGCGUUGCAUGGACAAAAGAUGAGGAAAGAGGGAACGACGCGUUUAUUUAUCUCUGUAAAAGUAAAUAAAUAAAUAAUAAUAACUGUCUAAAAGAUAAUCACACCGCGUUUCAUCGUUGCAUGGAUAAAAGAGAGAACGGUCAAAUUAGUGUUGGUAGUUGUACCAGUCUUACGGCAGUUAAUGCUUUUAUUAACUGUCGUAAGACUGGUACAACUACCAACACUGAAUUUUUAUGAACAACGUUCCUAAACUGUAUUCAUUGGGUGCAAGUUGGGUAAAUCUCUCUGUUAUUUUUACCCAUUAUUAACCUACCGUUAACUCGAAAUGAAUAUGCUGGAGAGUAGAACUAUAAACCAACCGGGUUCAAAGGCCUCUAGCUCGCAUAGAACAAGAACCCUGUGAUAUGUAUGGUCAUUGUCUAUUUAUGGUGCUAUCAUUUGCACAUGAGAAGAUCUUAAAGGCUUGGAAUCAAACUAAGCUAAAAAAGGGGAAGAUUGAAGAUGUAAAAUUCAGAGGAUGCAUCACAACGGAAGCUGAUGAGGAAAAUAAACUAAAGGAAUCAAAAUCAAAGUAUACAAACUAUAAAAAGAAAAGGAAAUCAGCAAAGAAAGGAGAAAAGACUUAAGAAAAGGAAAUUAGACUUUUACUAGUUUAAAAAGGAUUAGGAAAAGGUCUUGUGCUAACCUGAGACUAGAUAGGCUUCGAUAAAAAAUUAAAGUUUAUAAGGCAAAGGUCUUUGAAGAGUUUCUUAGAUAGAGAUUUUGUUUUAAAGUUUGCAAGCAUUACAAAGCUUUAAAACACUUUAGAUUUUCUGAGAGAGACUUUGUAAGUUCCUAAAGAUAAUUUAGUGGAUUUGUGGGUUUUGAGAAAAAUCUGUUUGGUUGAAAUAGCAUCUCUAUUGUUCUAUCUUUUUCAAGGAGAAUGUAUGGUUCAUUUUUUAGGUAUUACAUGAAAAUGUAUCUAUCAAAUACUUAUAAUGUUUAUUUUUAUGUAUUACAUGAAAAUGUAUCUAUCUAAAGCCUGUUUAUUUUUAUGAACAAUGUUUCUAAACUCUAUUCAUUGAGUGCAAGUUGGGUAAAUCUCUCUGUUAUUUUUAUCCAUUAUUAUUAACCUAUCGUUAACUCAAAAUGAACAUGCUGGAUAGUAGAACUAUAAACCAUCCGGGUUCAAAGGCCUCUAGCUCGCAUAGAAGGUCUCAGUAUCUCUGAUUCUCUUCCCUAACAUUUCAGUCUCACACAUUGAUCUGCAAAAAAAAAAAAAAUCUCAGAUGAGGUUGACAAAAACAAGCCCUAGCUCCUCCCAAAUCUCAUCCGCCGAUUCUGUCACUCCGUUAUGAUCCGAGCAUCCUUCGCCACCACCAUUGGCCUUUUCCACUCGCACACUCAUGGAGGAGCUCAAGCUCGUCCUUUACAGAGCAAUACACGGGAAGUGAUCCAGUGCCCCGAAGCUUGGUUAGUCAAAAUCGUCUCUACUUUAUUCGUCUAUCAAGUUCCAGACUCCGAUCUCUGUUUUUGCUACCUGAGCAAGAAUCUCAAUCCGUUUAUCGCCUUCGAGGUUGUGAAGAAACUGGAUAAUCCCCACAUUGGGUUUCGGUUUUGGGAGUUUAGUAGAUUC